rnacentral:rRNA from 1 species
ACUGCUCAGUAACACGUAGUCAACAUGCCCAAAGGACGUGGAUAACCUCGGGAAACUGAGGAUAAACCACGAUAGGCCAUGAUUUCUGGAAUGGUUCAUGGCUGAAAUCUAUAUGGCCCCUGGAUUGGACUGCGGCCGAUCAGGCUGUUGGUGAGGUAAUGGCCCACCAAACCUGUAACCGGUACGGGCUCUGAGAGGAGGAGCCCGGAGAUGGGCACUGAGACAAGGGCCCAGGCCCUAUGGGGCGCAGCAGGCGCGAAAUCUCUGCAAUAGGCGAAAGCUUGACAGGGUUACUCUGAGUGAUGCCCGCUAAGGGUAUCUUUUGGCACCUCUAAAAAUGGUGCAGAAUAAGGGGUGGGCAAGUCUGGUGUCAGCCGCCGCGGUAAUACCAGCACCCCGAGUAGUCGGGACGAUUAUUGGGCCUAAAGCAUCCGUAGCCGGUUCUGCAAGUCCUCCGUUAAAUCCACCUGCUCAACAGAUGGGCUGCGGGGGAUACCGCAGAGCUAGGAGGCGGGAGAGGCAAACGGUACUCAGUGGGUAGGGGUAAAAUCCUUUGAUCUACUGAAGACCACCAGUGGCGAAGGCGGUUUGCCAGAACGCGCUCGACGGUGAGGGAUGAAAGCUGGGGGAGCAAACCGGAUUAGAUACCCGGGUAGUCCCAGCUGUAAACGAUGCAGACUCGGUGAUGGGUUGGCUUCGAGCCAACCCAGUGCCGCAGGGAAGCCGUUAAGUCUGCCGCCUGGGGAGUACGGACGCAAGACUGAAACUUAAAGGAAUUGGCGGGGGAGCAC